rnacentral:rRNA from 1 species
UACAGAGGUCUCAAGCGUUGUUCGGAUUCAUUGGGCGUAAAGGGUGCGUAGGCGGCGCGGUAAGUCGGGUGUGAAAUCUCGGAGCUUAACUCCGAAACUGCAUUCGAUACUGCCGUGCUUGAGGACUGGAGAGGAGACUGGAAUUUACGGUGUAGCGGUGAAAUGCGUAGAUAUCGUAAGGAAGACCAGUGGCGAAGGCGGGUCUCUGGACAGUUCCUGACGCUGAGGCACGAAGGCGUGGGUAGCAAACAGG